UGUGGACAUGAUCGUUGACGCUCUACAAAUAUUCUUAACGACCCUAAGUAUAAGGAAAACGUGUUGAGGAUGUCAGUGCCACUGCGGGAUCAGCCUGUACCACCCACGGAACUGGCAGUGUUCUGGACUGAGUACGUCAUCCGUCACGAGGUGCGCCCCAGCUGAGGUCACCAGCGGCACAGCUCUCCUGGGUGGAGUUCCUCAUGCUGGACGUGAUCUUCCUCCUCCACCUGGCUAUGAUCAUCCUUCUGUUCAUUCUGCGUCGCAUCUUCAGAGUCAUCACUGCUAAAAUCUUUGGCAGUGAUGGCAAGAUGAAGAAGAAAAAUGAUUAGAAGCAUCUUUCAUGUAGGAAGGAGUAGAUUGUAUUAAAAGUUGUUACACUGUU